rnacentral:SRP_RNA from 1 species
GCCGGGCAUGGUGGCCCGUGCCUGUAGUCCCAGCUACUCAGCAGGCUGAGGCUGGAGGACCUCUUGAGUCCAGGAGUUCUGGGCUGUAGUGCGCUAUGCCGAUCGGGUGUCUGCACUAAGUUUGGCAUCAAUAUGGUGACCUCCCGGGAGCGGGGGACCACCAGGUUGCCUAAGGAGGGGUGAACCGGCCCAGGUUGGAAACGGAGCAGGUCAAAACUCCCGUGCUGAUCAGUAGUGGGAUCGCGCCUGUGAAUAGCCACUGCACUCCAGCCUGGGCAACAUAGCGAGACCCCGUCUCU